rnacentral:rRNA from 1 species
CCUACGGGAGGCAGCAGUGGGGGAUAUUGCACAAUGGGGGAAACCCUGAUGCAGCGACGCCGCGUGAGGGAAGACGGUCCUCUUGAUUGUAAACCACUGUCCCCAGGGACGAAGAUGACGGUACCGGGGGAGGAAGCUCCGGCUAACUACGUGCCAGAAGCCGCGGUAAAACGAAGGGGGCAGGCGUUAGCCGGAUUUACUGGGUGGAAAGGGGGCGCAGACGGCGAUGCAAGACAGGAGGGAAAGCCCGGGGCCAAACCCCGGGACCGAUGUUGGAACUGCGUGGCGUGAGUGCAGGAGGGGCAGGCGGAAUUCCUGGUGUAGCGGUGAAAUGCGUAGAUAUCAGGAGGAACACCGGUGGCGAAGGCGGCCUGCUGGACUGCAACUGACGUUGAGGCCCGAAAGCGUGGGGAGCAAACAGGAUUAGAUACCCGGGUAGUC